rnacentral:rRNA from 1 species
UACGUAGGUGGCAAGCGUUGUCCGGAAUUACUGGGCGUAAAGGGCGUGUAGGCGGCCUUUUAAGUCAGACGUGAAACCCCUGGGCUUAACCCAGGAACUGCGUUUGAAACUGGAGGGCUUGAGGACCGGAGAGGGUAGUGGAAUUCCCAGUGUAGCGGUGAAAUGCGUAGAUAUUGGGAGGAACACCAGUGGCGAAGGCGACUGCCUGGACGGCCCCUGACGCUGAGGCGCGAAAGCUAGGGGAG